rnacentral:rRNA from 1 species
ACUACGGGAGGCAGCAGUGGGGGAUAUUGCACAAUGGGGGGAACCCUGAUGCAGCGACGCCGCGUGGGUGAAGGAGUGCUUCGGCAUGUAAAGCCCUAUCGGCAGGGAAGAAGCAAGACGGUACCUGACUAAGAAGCCCCGGCUAACUACGUGCCAGCAGCCGCGGUAAUACGUAGGGGGCGAGCGUUAUCCGGAUUCACUGGGUGAAAAGGGAGCGUAGACGGCCAUGCAAGCCAGGGGUGAAAGCCCGGGGCACAACCCCGGGACUGCCCUUGGAACUGCAUGGCUGGAGUGCGGGAGGGGCAGGCGGAAUUCCGGGUGUAGCGGUGCAAUGCGUAGGUAUCAGGAGGAACACCGGCGGCGAAGGCGGCCUGCUGGACCGCGACUGACGUUGAGGCUCGAAAGCGUGGGGAGCGAACAGGAUUAGAUACCCUGGUAGUC